UGACGGCAGUUACGACAGGCCAUUGGAUGUACGACAACGAGGUGGUGCCGGGAAGGGCUGACAUCACCGUUAUGCCCUUGUGUGCAUGCGUGUACCCAAGGGGAGGGUGGAGCGGAGUCGCGUGGUGGAUGGAGGGCGUUAUCCUGCCAAGGGUGUUGGUGAUGGUUUACUUCAUUAAGUGCAUAGCUGUGGACUAUCAGGACAAGAUUAUGACUGAACUAGAGAGGAGAACAUCACCCAGAGAUCUUGGACUUGGAGCUGGAUGCAAGAACUGAUGAGACUCUGAAUUUCCCCUUUUGGGGAGGAAAGUUUACAAGCUCACAAAUGCUCUGUGUGGAUGAGGUCUUUGGAGGAAACUGGAGAAUGACUGUGUUUCACAUCUGGGUCAAAGUGUUACUGAACAGAAGCAGCAGAAGUGGAAACAAAGGAAACCAAAGUCAGAAAGUCAUUAAUGACCAACCCCACUCCUAUCCUGGGAAUGUGGAAAGUUUUGAGGAAGGCUUUGGACUUCCAGAAGUCUAGGUGGACUAGGCUCCAAAGAUGGCCCCCAGUGAACCACAGUUCCUGCUAUUAAUGCUCAUGUGUACUUCCCACCUACAUUUGAAUGGGCUGGUCUGUGACUCAUGUUAACCACUUGCAUGCAGUAGAAGUGGUGCUGUACCAAUUCUAGACCUAGUCUUUAAGAGGAUUGGCAGCUUCUACUUUCUCCUUCUUGGAACAUUUGCUUUUGGGAGCUCUGAACCACCAUGAAAUAAGUCUGACUACCUUACUGGAGAGACCCUGUGGAAAGAUUACAUGAAGAGGGAGAGAGACCCUGUUGUCAUAAUGUCCCUGUUAUCUGAAGAGAUGACUCCAGUCCCACCUGUCAUCUGACUCAACCACAUGAGAGGCCCCAGGUGACACCAGCAGAAGAACUGCCCACAUGAUCUCAGUCAACCUACAGAAUCACAAGAGGCAAGGACGUCAUCAGAAUGAGACAAAAACUGUCACGGAUACAUGCCCAGCACUGAAUGGUCUACAGAUGAGAAUGAAAACUGAAGCCAUUCUUUCCGAGAUUCUUGAGCACUAUAGAUGGAGAAACUGAGCCAGACACAGGAAAUUAAUACCGAGGACAUAGCACCACCAACUUGCUGGAUGUUUAAACAGCCGCAUCUUCUGGUGCAGUGCCAGCUGCGUCCCCGAGACAUGAUGGUGAAGGUCGGAGUGAAUGGAUUUGGCCAUAUUGGGCGCCUGGUCACUAGGGCUGCUUUUAACUCUGGCAAAGUGGAUAUUGUCGCCAUCAGUGACCCCUUCAUUGACCUCAACUACAUGGUCUACAUGUUCUCCAGUAUGAUUCCACCCAUGACAAAUUCCACGGCACAGUCAAGGCUGAGAACGGGAAGCUUGUCAUCAAUGGAAAGGCCAUCUCCAUCUUCCAGGAGUGAGAUCCCACCAACAUCAAAUGGGGUGAUGCUGGUGCUGAGUAUGUUGUGGAGUCCAUUGAGGUCUUCACCACCAUGGAAGGCAGCUAUGCUCACCACUAUACCACCAACGCUGGUCUUCACCACCAUGGAGAAGGCUGGGGCUCACUUGAAGGGCGGGGCCAAGAGGGUCAUCAUCUCUGCUCCCUCUGCCGAUGCCCCCAUGUUCGUGAUGGGUGUGAACCAUGAGAAGUAUGACAACUCUCUCAAGAUUGUCAGCAAUGCCUCCUGCACCACCAACUGCUUGGCUUCUCUGGCCAAGGUCAUCCAUGACAACUUCGGCAUCAUGGAGGGACUCAUGACCACCGUCCAUGCCAUCACUGCCACCCAGAAGACUGUGGAUGGCGCCUCUGGGAAGCUGUGGUGUGAUGGCUGAGGGGCUGCCCAGAACAUCAUCCCUGCUUCCACUGGCGCUGCCAAGGCUGUGGGCAAGGUCAUCCCUGAGCUGAACGGGAAGCUAACUGGCAUGGCCUUCCGUGUCCCCACCCCCAACGUGUCUGUCGUGGAUCUGACCUGCCGCCUGGAGAAAGCUGCCAAAUACGAUGACAUCAAGAAGGUGGUGAAGCAGGCGUCAGAGGGCCCCCUCAAGGGCAUCCUGGGAUAUGCUGAGGACCAGGUUGUCUCUUGUGACUUUAACAGUGACAGCCACUCCUCCACCUUCGAUGCCGGGGCUGGCAUUGCCCUUAACGACCACUUUGUCAAGCUCAUUUCCUGGUAUGACAAUGAAUUCGGCUACAGCAACCGGGUGGUGGACCUUAUGGUCCACAUGGCCUCCAAGGAGUAAGAGCCCCCUGGACCACCAGCCCCAGCGAGAGCAAGAGGAAGAGAGAGGCCCUCAGCUGCUGGGGACUCCCUGCCCCAACUUAUCCUCCAGAACACUGAGAAUCUCCCGACCUCCAACGUUUCCAACCCAGACCCCCUGGAGAAGGGGAGGGGCUUGGGGAGCCCUACCUUGUCAUGUACCAUCAAUAAAGUAUACUGUACCCAGC